rnacentral:rRNA from 1 species
GACGAACGCUGGCGGCGUGCCUAAUACAUGCAAGUCGAGCGCAGGAAACUGACGGAACUCUUCGGAGGGAAGGCAGCGGAAUGAGCGGCGGACGGGUGAGUAACACGUAAGGAACCUGCCUCAAGGAUUGGGAUAACUCCGAGAAAUCGGAGCUAAUACCGGAUAGUUCAUCGGACCGCAUGGUCCGCUGAUGAAAGGCGCUCCGGCGUCACCUUGAGAUGGCCUUGCGGUGCAUUAGCUAGUUGGUGGGGUAACGGCCCACCAAGGCGACGAUGCAUAGCCGACCUGAGAGGGUGAUCGGCCACACUGGGACUGAGACACGGCCCAGAAUCCUACGGGAGGCAGCAGUAGGGAAUCUUCCACAAUGGACGAAAGUCUGAUGGAGCAACGCCGCGUGAGUGAUGAAGGUUUUCGGAUCGUAAAACUCUGUUGUAAGGGAAGAACACGUACGAGAGGAAAUGCUCGUACCUUGACGGUACCUUACGAGAAAGCCACGGCUAACUACGUGCCAGCCGCCGCCGUAA